GUCUGCCGUGGACGUCCUCACUUGGAGGCCUGGACGUCACACCCCGCCCGCCAGGAAGAUACAUACGAGAACGUUCCUCGUGUUCCUAAUCCGAAGAAUUGGCAUAGACAGCAGCGAACAUCCAAGCACAAGCAGGCCCUCAAAAAGACACAAGAACUGUACGAAGAUUUUCAUCAGACGGUAGUGCUUCAGGAAAAGCAUGAGAACGAGUACGAGACUCCAGAUUUUCGCAGGGAUCCCUUGCCGGAAAGUGAUAACCGUCUCUCUGGCUGUAGUACUUC